GCGCCCGUAGCUCAGCGGAUAGAGCGGCUGGCUUCGAACCAGUAGGUCGGGGGUUCAACUCCCUCCGGGCGCUCCA
rnacentral:tRNA from 1 species